CACACACACACAUACAUACAAUGGAAUAUUACUCAGCCUUAAAAGAGAAUAAAAUUAUGGCCUUUGCAGGAAAAUGGAUGGAAUUGGAGAAUAUCAUGCUCAGCGAAGUAAGCCAAUCCCCCAAAACCAAAGGCCGAAUGUUCUCUCUGAUAAGUGAAUGCUGAUCCAUAAUAGGGGGCGGGGCGUGGGGAGAAUGGAGGAACUUUGGGCAAAGAAGAGGGAGAAGAGGGAAUGGGGGCAGGAAAGAUGGUGGAAUGAGGUAAGCAUCAUUACCCUAGGUGCAUGUAUGACUGCUAAUAUGGUACAAUGCUAUAUCAUGUACAACCAAAGAAAUGAAAAGUUGUACUCCAUUUAUGUACAAUGAACUGAAAUGUAUUCUGCUGUCAUGUAUAACUAAUUAGAACAAAAAAUAAAGACAGAGCAAGGGUGUAGCUUAGUGGUAGAGCACAUACUUAGCAUGCACAAGGCCUUGUUUUCAAUCCCCAACACCAAAACAAACAAGCAAACACACCGGGGUACAAGCUUACAAGAACAAUAAAAUAUGUGCUACAAGAGAAGUUCCAAAGGGAAAAUGCCCAAGAUACCUGUGAUACAGUCUGGGCAAUAAAAUUAAUGAAGUAUAACAGCAAAAUUUAGUUUAAAACAAACAUGGAUCGAUUUACCCAAGUGAUUGAUUUAUACAAGCUGUCAGUGUCCUUGGAGGCUAUUGAUUUAUUCCAAUAAGAAUGCAAGUUCAGAAAUGAUUUACAGAAUGAAGGAGCUGUUUUUUUUCUCAUUAUCUGAUGGAAAUAAUUUGAUUUCUGGCUAAAGGAUAACACUGCCCAACUUGGUCACCUGCAUUAAUUGUCAACUUGAAUGUAUGCUUACUGUUUUAAAUAUCCAAUCUGUACUUGGAGAGCAAAGUUAUGACCCUAAUGAAGAAUUCUAAAGAAUAUGUGUGUCAGAUUCUGAAGGGAGUUUCUAAAGAAUUUUAAAAAUGCUUCAAGCAAUGGAAGCAUCAUUAAAAUAAAUUGCUUUGAAGAAGAGAACAUUCAUGUGCAUGAACGAAUAUAUACAUUCGUUGGUAGAACAGAUUUAAAACAAGUGUC
rnacentral:lncRNA from 1 species